UUGUUCUAGGAAUGACCAAAUCCGUAAUAUUUAUCUUAUCCAUCUCAAUCACCUUUUUCAGCUGGCUUUGUUUUGGUUUCUUGUUGAUCGUUGGAGGUUGGAAAAUGU